CUCCUCUCAGGGUUGCAGCUGGAGAGUUUCCAGUCCUCUACCAGUCUCAAAUGCAGGAGGGAGAGUCAAGCAGAGGCAUACCCAUUCCAUUCCUAGCUUGGGCAUUGGGUAGUGAAUGGAAGACAAUCUGCUUCAAGU